GNCCUCCUCCGCAGCCCCGGGCUCGCCCGCCCUGCUCGGGAGUGUGGUCCCUGCCGGGAGCCGCCGCGCCUGGCGCACAGAGGGAAGCGUUGAUGCAUCGCUGUGGAAAUUCAUUGUGUGACUUUCUGGGUAUUUACUGAGUUUCAGACCGAGAUGCAGCUCUUGAAAGCUUUAUGGGCACUAGCAGGAGCAGCGAUCUGCUGUUUUCUUAUAUUUGUCAUCCACUCACAGUUUCUUAAAGAAGGUCAGCUGGCUGCAGGUACAUGUGAGAUUGUUACUUUGGACAGAGAUAGCAGUCAGCCCCGAAGGACUAUAGCCCGACAAACAGCUCGCUGUGCAUGUAAAAAAGGACAGAUUGCCGGCACAACAAGAGCAAGGCCAGCGUGUGUUGAUGCACGAAUUAUCAAAACAAAACAGUGGUGUGAAAUGCUUCCAUGUUUAGAAGGAGAAGGCUGUGAUUUGCUAAUCAAUAAAUCAGGCUGGACCUGUACACAACCAGGAGGACGGAUAAAGACAACCACGGAGUCCCUCUUUUCUCUUAUUUGAUCUCUGUUUUUCUGGGGAGUGAUUAAUUUACCUGUAAUGAGGAACGAAAGGGAAAAAACAGGAGGUGGGAGGCCUGUCUGAGGCCAUGUGGUUUGGAGAUCUGAUCACUAGUCCGAAAAGGAAAGGCUGUUUGCAAGAUUUCUGGGGUGUUUUUUCCUGGAAAAGGUCUCCUGACAAAUGCAGCAACACAGAAUCCUCGUAGGAGUGGUUUAGGCUCUCUGUGAGCUACUUAACUUAGUCAAGUUUCACUGCUGUUGAUCAUCAUCUGUUAUAUGUCAUCAACUCAACUGUCUGUUUCUCUGUAUCUCAUGAAUGACAGCAUAAUUCCUCUGCAUUAUGAGCUAAAGUUUGUUCUACCAUUCUAAGGAUCACUGGACUAAGGAAUAUAGAAAAAGAGAUAUGCUUGGGCAUUAGCAAUACAAAAAGUUCAUGGUUAACGUUUCAUCUGCGUUAUACACCACUGCUGGACUUGCUGUUACCUACAUGUUUCAAUCCGAAGAGUCUGCUACAAUGAAGAGUAUCAUCCCAAUCAGCCUUAGAGAAGACUGUUUUGCCUAUGGGAGGACACUGAGGUGCAAAAGAGAAACUCUUCUUGUGCCCUAAACUGUCUGAAUUGCUUUUAUUUUCUUAUACUUUCAGUAUUUACAAUAGACCAAAGAGCAAAAUCUAUUUUAAAGUGGACACAAUCUUACUCUUAAGAGAGUUAUGUCAUUAAAUUGAAGGAGGUCUCAACAAAGACAUGAUUCCAGCUUUCACAAAGCUGAAAUGUUGUCCAGCAGAAGUCUUUAUGGAAAGCUGAAGUAAAAACUAACUCAGAGACCUGCUCUUGAAAUGCCAUGUUCAAGAGAACAUAAUGGAGCACUGAGAGAAAAUGACCUGUUUGAAAAACUCAGACAAAAAGAACACAAACUGUCUACGCGGCACCUUUAUUCCUCUGUACUUAGAUUGACUUUCUCGUACUAAAAUCAUUUUCCGUUUUAACCAGUUAAACAUGCCUCUUCUACAGUUCCAUUUUUGAUAGUUAAAGUUGGAUAAUACAGUAUUUGCAAAGAGCAUGUUUGGUCAUCUGUGGCCUAUGUCUCAUCUGAUACACCAUUUAGCACCAGAAAGCAAAUUAAAGAGAAAACAAAAGUAACACUUGUUUGAAAGAGAUCAUUAAAUGUAUUUUGAAAAGCCUAAAGUUAUAUAUUUAACAGUUUUUAUAUGUUGUAUAUUUGUAGAAAAUCCUAUUUAACAAUUAACGUGAUAACUCUGACAGUCAUGAAAAGUGGUUCAGAGUUAAGUUGUGUUUUAUUACUUCAGUUGUCUCUGAAGUGACCAGUGUCGUUUGCUUUCUUCCAUUGGGACAUUCUGGAUGUAAAGCAUGACCAGAGAGGACUGUGUAGAAAAAGCAAAGAAUAAUGUUGUUUAUAUUACAUAAAUGCAUUCAACCAUUGCA